AUUGAACGCUAGCGGGAUGCCUUACACAUGCAAGUCGAACGGAGUAGCGAACGGGUGAGUAAUGGAUAGGAACGUGCCAAGUAGCGGGGGAUAACUACGAGAAAUCGUAACUAAUACCGCAUACUAUUGGAGCGGCAGAUAUCGGAUUAGCUAGAUGGUGGGGUAGCGGCUCACCAAGGCGACGACCAGUAGCUGGUGUGAGAGGACGACCAGCCAAACUGGAACUGAGACACGGCCCAGACUCCUACGUGAGGCAGCAGUGGGGAAUUGUGUACAAUGGGCGCAACCCUGAUCCAGCCAUCCCGCGUGUGUGAUGAAGGCCUUCGGGUUGUAAAGCACUUUUGGCAGGGAGGCGGUACCUGCAGAAGAAGCACCGGCUAACUACGUGUCAGCAGCCGCGGUAAUUC
rnacentral:rRNA from 1 species